UGGGGAAUAUUGGACAAUGGGCGCAAGCCUGAUGCAGCCAUGCCGCGUGUAUGAAGAAGGCCUUCGGGUUGUAAAGUACUUUCAGCGGGGAGGAAGGCGAUAAGGUUAAUAACCUUGUCGAUUGACGUUACCCGCAGAAGAAGCACCGGCUAACUCCGUGCCAGCAGCCGCGGUAAUACGGAGGGUGCAAGCGUUAAUCGGAAUUACUGGGCGUAAAGCGCACGCAGGCGGUCUGUCAAGUCGGAUGUGAAAUCCCCGGGCUCAACUUGGGAACUGCAUUCGAAACUGGCAGGCUAGAGUCUUGUAGAGGGGGGUAGAAUUCCAGGUGUAGCGGUGAAAUGCGUAGAGAUCUGGAGGAAUACCGGUGGCGAAGGCGGCCCCCUGGACAAAGACUGACGCUCAGGUGCGAAAGCGUGGGGAGCAAACA
rnacentral:rRNA from 1 species